UAGGCCUUGUUCGGUGCAAGUGUUUUGUUGGGAGUUUUGUAGUGUUUUGGGGUGUAAAAUCAAAGCCCGGUUAAAACACGCUAAAACACUCUAAAACACUUCAGGGCCAUUCGGCGGGCCGGUUUCAGCAGGGUAACGGUCCAGGAAACACCCCAAUACACGUCGGGCCGAGGUGGAAUCGAAACGCUCCACCCCCCUCGCGUUUUCUCGCUGGCGGCGCAGCGCCCGUCGAAGCCGCCGCUCCAAGACGCCGCCGCUGCCGCCGCUCCAAGCAGCCGCCGCCGCUGACGCUCCAAGCCGCCUUCGCCGCUGCCGUUGACGUCGUCCCGCAGCAAAGCCAGCGACGUUCCCUCCCAAGAGCACAGAUCUAGCCGCGCGGCUCUGGCGGCACAGCCACGAUUUGACGACGACCGUCGCCUCCCUCCCUCCCCGACGUCCUUGGCCUCCCUCUCCCCCAGUCCUUCUUCUUCGGUAGAAGCUGGACUUCUCUCAGGUCGUGCAACCGGUGGAGUGAAUGGAUGACCCGCUUCAACUCUGGAGUUUAUGGAGUGUCAUUUGUGGGGUGAACAAUAACAAGCUAGUCCAUGAUACCCAUUUUAUAUUCGUUCCCUUGCUCUUUUCUACUUGAUAUAAAAUCAUUUGUAUGUAUGCCUUAUGACCAAACCUGUGUUGAGUCAUGAGAGAUGUAAGUUCCCAGCAGAGAUUAUACGGUAUAACCUGUGUUGCUGUGUUGGGGUCAUGAGAGAAAUGUUGCCUGUCAGUUUGCAAGUUAAACCCAUACUCCCCUGUUCCUAAGAUUGCACUAUAUAUAUAGUUAUUAGUUUUGCAUAA